CCAGACUCCUACGGGAGGCAGCAGUGAGGAAUAUUGGUCAAUGGGCGGGAGCCUGAACCAGCCAAGUCGCGUGAGGGAAGACGGUCCUAUGGAUUGUAAACCUCUUUAGGCGGGGAGCAAUGCCGGGCACGCGUGCCCGGAGGGAGAGUACCCGCAGAAUAAGCAUCGGCUAACUCCGUGCCAGCAGCCGCGGUAAUACGUAGGGGGCAAGCGUUAUCCGGAUUUACUGGGUGUAAAGGGAGCGUAGACGGCAUAGCAAGUCUGAAGUGAAAGCCCGUGGCUCAACCGCGGAACUGCUUUGGAAGCUGUUAAGCUGGAGUACUGGAGAGGCAAGCGGAAUUCCUAGUGUAGCGGUGAAAUGCGUAGAUAUUAGGAGGAACACCAGUGGCGAAGGCGGCUUGCUGGACAGAGACUGACGUUGAGGCUCGAAAGCGUGGGGAGCAAACAGGAUUAGAUACCCGUGUAA
rnacentral:rRNA from 1 species